ACGGACAGGAACAGAUGGGGACAGACGGACAUAUGGGGCCAGAUGGGGAUAAGGACAGACAGACAGACAGACCGGGACAGACAGACGGACGUGGAGGGGGACAGACGGACAUAGGGAGAAGGGGACACAGAUGGGGACGGACAGACAGACAGUGAUAAGGACAGACAGACAUGGAUGGGGACAGACAGACACAGAUGGGGACAGACAGACGGACGUGGAUGGGGACAGACGGACAUAUGGGGCCAGAUAGGGAUAAGGACAGACAGACAGAUGGACCGGGACAGACAGACGGACGUGGAGGGGGACAGACGGACACUGAUGGGGACAGACGGACGGACGGGGACUGGGACAGAUGGGGACAGACAGACAGACGGGGAUAAGGACAGACAGACGGACAGACCGGGACAGACAGACGGACGUGGAGGAGGACAGACAGACACGGAUAGGGACAGACGGACAGACGGGGACAGGGACAGAUGGGGACAGAAAGACAGAUGGGGAUAAGGACAGACAGACGGACGUGGAGUGGGACAGACGGACAUAUGGGGACAGAUGGGGACAGACAGAGACAGAUGGGGAUAAGGACAGACAGACAGACAGACCGGGACAGACAGACAGACGUGGAGGGGGACAGACGGACAGACGGGGAGGGGGACAGAUGGGGACAGACGGACAGAUGGCGAUAAGGACAGACAGACGGACAUGGGGACAGACAGACACAGAUGGGGACAGACAGACGGACGUGGAUGGAUGGGGAUAAGGACAGAC
ensembl:lncRNA